rnacentral:lncRNA from 1 species
AGGUGGUCGACUGGCCUGAUUGAUCAGACUCAAUCGUUGGGCUCGGUCUAGAGUGGUCGAUCGAUGCACUGAGGUGGUCGACUGCAAUGGCACGCUUUCGAGCCAUCAAGAUCGAUUGACCUAAGCAACUAGACUGGACUGCUGGGCUCGAUCUGAGGUGAUCGACCGCCUGACGCACUAGUCGAUCGCCUCAAAUAGAGCCCAAUGGUCUAGCCUGGUUGCUCAAGCCGGUCGACCAAGUUGGCCAGUCGACC